UUUUUUAUUGGUCACAUUUAGUGUGUGGAACCGGCUUUCCAGACUGUCUCGCAGGAACAGAGUCUGAAGAUGAGAAGUGGAAAAAAAAACUUCCAAGAAAUAUAUUGUCAGAGGGAAUCUCAAGUCUGCUGUUUAUUCCUGUUUGCCAAAGUGCUGCCUUUAAAGUGUCAAUACAAUACCGUUUUUAAAUGACAUUAAUUCAGAGGCAAAUAAUUUACUGGAGGGUUGAAUCUAUUAGUUUGACAAGCUUGCUUCCAUGUUAUUCACAUAUUGGCUUUAAAGAAAUGGCAUAAGCUUAAUAGCUUCUUAAAACAAUAGAACAUAAAAAAACAAGACAGAACGUUCUGUUGAAUGUUUUUGCAGCCUUAAUCCCUGAAAAGCAACAAUUUGUACUGUUUCAUCAUGUUCACUUUGGUUUGGUUUGUCAACACAUAAGUUUAUGAGGAGAAAAAAAACUUAUUCUUUAUUCACCAUCUACUGGCAUGUGAUAUUAGAGGCAGUUUGUUGGUUUUCUAACUUGAACCAGUGGAAACACUGUGUGGAUGUGUGAUUUCGAUUAAUAAUUUAAACUCAUCUUUUAUAAAGCUUGGCACCAAAUCUAAAAGCGUUUUAGAUAUUUCUUAAAACAGUUUCUCCAUCAAAAUACCAAAGAAAAUCAA